rnacentral:rRNA from 1 species
GGCGGACGGGUGCGUAACACGUGAGUAAUCUGCCCGGAAGAGGGGGAUAGCCCAGGGAAACUUGGAUUAAUACCCCGUGUGCUCGCAAGAGUAAAGGUGCUGCAAGGUGCCGCUUCCGGAUGAGCUCGCGGCCUAUCAGCUAGUUGGUGGGGUAAAGGCCUACCAAGGCAACGACGGGUAGCUGGUCUGAGAGGAUGACCAGCCACACUGGAACUGAGACACGGUCCAGACACCUACGGGUGGCAGCAGUCGAGAAUCAUUCACAAUGGGCGAAAGCCUGAUGGUGUGACGCCGCGUGGAGGAUGAAGGUCUUCGGAUUGUAAACUCCUGUCAAGUGAGAGUAAAGCUGCGCGUUAACUGCGUCGCAGUCUGAGAGUAUCACUAGAGGAAGAGACGGCUAACUCUGUGCCAGCAGCCGCGGUAAUACAGAGGUCUCAAGCGUUGUUCGGAAUCACUGGGCGUAAAGGGUGCGUAGGCCGCAAUGUAAGUCAGAUGUGAAAGCCCCGGGCUCAACCCGGGAAUUGCAUCCGAUACUGCAUUGCUAGA